UUGCACUUUCCCAAGCCCACGGGAGCCCCCACCUCCGCGCUGCACCCCCAGCCCAUUCACCGCGCCCCCCUCCCCCCCAAAAAAGGAAACCAGACGAGCCGAAAACAGGGGCAGCGGGAGUCGGGGCGAGAAGGAAAGGUGAGGGAGAGGGGACUUACUUUUCGAGGCGCGGUGCUGAGCGCUGCAGGCGAGAAAUAAAGGCCCAGACCUGGGCUCCCUGGAGCCCCGCGGAUGCAGUGGUGUCAGCGCUCCAGUCCUGGCGGCGUUGGCUCUGGCGGCCGCAGGGGACCGGGACGGGGACUGGCGCGCGUGCGGCGGGCGCGGCACAGCUCGGCGGGCGCUCGCGCUGCGCUCCGGCUCGGGCCCCGGCUCCGCGCGGCUCCGCUCCUGGCUCCCCUCUGGCUCCUGGCACCAACUCCGGGCAGUCACAUGACGCCGGCGCCGCUCGCUCUGCGAGCCUCCCGGGGCUGGCGGGGCUGCUCAGUUACCUGUAGCAACAUCCUCGGCUGCCUAAUGCUUGUCCUGUACAAGACUCGGUUGAAGCAUCAGCUUCUCCAGAAGAUCUGGUCCACAAGCCAUCUCCACCCCAGCAGGUCAUAAGAAGACAGAGGACUGUGCGAUAUCAGUUUUCGGGGAGUCUGGAUCUCGUUUAGAGGACAAAGAAGAAAAUCCUUCAUCAGACCAAUAUCACGUGAGAGACUUGUUUUGUUUGGCUGGCAAGCAUCAAAUAUGUUAAGAACUAUUUACCACACAUUUAAAUUGGGAGGCUUCACAAAAACAUCUGGAUAGUUGGCUUUUUUUUGAACAAUCAGGAAUUCUAGCAACAGAGACCUAUCUAUGUUCCUACACGGAAAAGAUUCAUUGGAGCUGAGUAGCUGCUGUGCCCUCUCAAGGGGCCAUAAGCUCUCUGUUUCUCAUAGUCCCCACACAGCCCUCUCUGCCCAUCUAUACUUCUGGCCCAAGAGCUUUAAGCAUUUGCAUUUAAAACCUAGAUCAGUGUUUUUCAGAUUAUGACCCCCUUAUGAGUCAUGAAAUCAGCUUUAAAAGAAGGAAAAAGGGGAAGGAGGGGAAGGAAGAGAAAGAAGAAGAAGAGGAAGAAAUAGAAACUAUUGAAUAUACCACCUGGAGUAAGGGUUAGUAUUAUUUGAUGAAAACUUUGUUUCAUUUAUGUUUAUGUAUGCUUGCACUAGGUUACAAUAUAAAAUGCAUUUCUUCCUAUGAGUUGCAAUAAAAUGUUUGAAAGCCAAGACUACUGAAAAUUGAAGUAAUCCAAAUUUUGGUUAAGCAUUUAGUUUGCCAUAUUAGUUUACUUCUUUUGGUUUUAUUUCCCCUUAAAUUAUCUGGGCAAUGGGGUGUUAUUUGUUACAUAGCCAUAACCACAGAAUUCAUACAAACUUGACAACAUGGGUCCCUUUGAAUGCCUAUAAGUGAUCUAUAAUAAAGGAUUAAAACAUCUAAUUGAAGUGGGAGAAGAGAUUGAUCUUCCUGGUAUUUCUCAGACUUAGGAUCUAAGACCUAUGAUCCACUAGACUGCAUAGUUGUAUGGUUUUAAGUUGGAUCAUAUUAAAUAAUAAUUGGGUUUAUUUACAUAGGAUUUGGGGUCUUUCUUUUUUUGCUUUUUUUGUUUGUUUGUUUUUAUGGCUGCACCUGCAGCAUAUGGAAGUUCUUGGCUGGGGUUUGAGUCGGAGCAGCGGCUGAAGCCUAUGCCACAGCCACAGCGACGCUGGAUCCGAGCCACAUCUGUGAGCUAUGCUGCAGCUUGCAGCAACACCAGAUCCUUAACUCACUGAGUGAGGCCAGAGAUGAAACACGCAUCCUCAUGGACACUGUGUCGGGUUCUUUACCUGUUAAUCUACAAUAAGAACUCCUACAUAGGUUUUUUUAAGGCAACUAAUACUCUAGGCUAGAUUAGAACUUUCAAUAGAACUUUCCGUGACGAUGAAAAAUUCUAUAUCUGUACUAUUCACUCUAGUAACCAUUAGCCACAUGUGGUUCUUUAUUAUUUUAAAAUGUACCAGUGUGACUGAGGACCUUUUUUUUAAAUUUUAACUUUAACCAAUUUAAAUUUAAGUAACCACGCGUAGGUUGUGGCUGCCACAUUGGACAGCCUCCCUCCAGAUUCUAGAACGAGUAUCUUGAAAGAAGGUUGGCUCUAUUUCUUCCUUAUUUCCCACACGUGAACAUCCAUUGGCCUGACAGAAUCGUCUAAUUCAGACACUGCACACCAAAGAGUAAGGCAGCCUAACAUUCAGGCUGCUAGGGACAGUUUACUUUGGGGCCAGAUGUCUGCCAGAGACAAAUGAUCCAGUGUCUACAUGUGGACCCUCUAGGUUCUUAUCCCCACUGAUUUUUGUUUUUAUAAAUUAAAAAUUACUUGAAGCAAAAAAAAAAAAAAAAA
rnacentral:lncRNA from 1 species